GGGCGGAGCCCUUAACUGUACUCCCAUUGGAUGGGAUUGAGGACAGGCUCCAAGCCGCUGCGCGGGGCGCCUAGAAUUUGUGCAAACACACCAGUGUCCCAAAUGAUAGAAUAACUGCUGAAAUAAGAGUUAAAUGACUAAUCUGGCCGGGCCCGGCGUCUCACGCCUAUAAUUCCAGCCCUUUAAGAGAAUGAGGUGGGUGGAUCACACCUGAAGUCAGAAAUUCGCGACCAGCCUGACCAACACAGCGAAACCCCAUCGCUACUAAAAAUACAGAAUUAGCCAGGUGUGGUGAUGCAUGCCUAUAAUCCCGGCUACAAGGGACGCUGAGGCAAGAAAAUUGCCUUUACCCGGGAGGCAGAGGCAGUGAGCCGAGAUUGCACCCUUGCACUGCAGCCUUGGCAACAAGGGCAAAACUCGGUCUCAAAAAAAGAAAAAAGUGAAUGACUAUCCCUGCAAUCCAACGUAGUAAGUGUCGAAAUAGAGGAACGAAAACCACUGAGAGGUAAAGGAUUGAGAGAGAUACAGUUCAAAAAUUUAGAUUUUGAAAAAGCAUCCCAGGUGAUUGUAUUCAGGUGACGCGUGGAGAAACAUGGUCAUAAUUCACCCCUUACCCUUCGGUCCCUUACCAAGCUUUUUUUCCUAGAGCUAAUGGUACCUGAAGAAAGCUGAUGUUUGGGGAGGCAGACCUGGCAGAGUUCCGGUCUGACCGUGAUCCUUAAUACUAAAACCUGAUGAUCUUUAGCAAGAAACAUAACCCUCUAAAUUCAGUUUUUGUUUUUGUUUGUUUAUUUGUUUGUUUUGACAGAGUCCUGCUCAGUCGCCCAGGCUGGAAUGCAGUGGUGCAAUCUUGGCUACUGCAACCUCUGCCUCCCGGGCUCAAGUCAUUCUCCUAACUCAGCCUCCCAAGUAGCUAGGAUUACAGGCACCCACCACCAUGCCUGGCUAAUUUUUGUAUUUUUAGUAGAGAUGAGGUUUCACCAUGUUGGCCAGCCUGGCCUUGAACCCUUGACCUCAGGUAAUCCUCCCGCCUCAGCCUCCCAAAGUGUUGGGAUUACAGGCGUGGGCCACCGUGUACAGCCUGAAUUCAGUUUUCUUAUCUGAACAGGCUUAUUGUGACCAUUAAAUGGGCUAACGUGUAAAAACUAUACUAGCACACCUAUAGGGUUAGUACCCAGUGAAAAUUUUGUUUCGUUUCUCAACUCACAAAUCUAAUCGGUGUUAGAGUCCCUUUUGGAUUGUAUGCAUACAGAGUUCUAACAGUAAGUAAGUGGCACUCUCAGCCUGUGUAAUUGAGGAGAGUUUUAUAGAGGUACUAUCUACAAAGGCAUGGACAAGGUUUAAAAACAAACAAUGAAACAAGAUUUGUGUAGAACCCUGAAUCUGAAGGUUCAAGGAAAGGGGGCUGUCUGGCAGGAGCUGUAGCUUUUCUAGAGGGUAUGGUUUGUGGCAGGAAGGAGGAGACUAGAAAUUCCUUGACUCUCCUGUUUUUCAGUAUCUUGCUAAUGCCUCUUUUUGGCCAAACCCAACCAUACAGCUCAGCCUAGCUGGGAACAUAGCAGGGUAGAGAAGGGAGAAGAGCAUAUAGUGACACCCAGCUCAAUAAACAUGUAUAAACUGAACAAAAAGGUAUUAGACUACAUGAAGUUAAGUUCACUGUGUGCUGGUUACCAACUUGUUUGAAUCCAGUGAGACAAAACAGAUUCAUAUAUUUAAUACAACAAUGUACAUUAACUGGAUUUAUUACUUACAGAUAGGCAGCAAAGGAUGACAGAAGCCUAAGAAUCGUUGCAAACCAGUCCUCCAGGGCUCAAGAAUGCUGCGGGGUGAUGGAGUCUCAUGUGCAUGUGCCCACUUGCACUGCAGCUGCCCUGAGUUUUAUAAUCUGGGGUGGGUCAUAUGACUGCUGGGCUAAAGCACUGGAAGACAUCCUGUUUGUAGGGAGGGUCUGGGAUAGAGCCAGGGCCAUUCCAGCCAUCCAUCCCUAUCUUGGGAUGUUACAUUUCCAUCACAUUCUAUGGUUAUUUUUGCGAACUACUAGUGAGAAAGAGGGGAGAGCUGAGUCAGUCUAAGGCCAACCAGAGAACUGCCCUGUAGUCUGUCCCCAAUCCAGGUAUCUCCCUUAGCAAACCUAGUACAUUUCAUAGGCCCUCCAGACUCCCAGGAUCUGGAGGCAGAGGUUUGGCUGAUCUUAUUAAUGUGGCACUUCAGCCAGGCAUGGUGGCUUACACCUGUAAUUCCAGGGCUUUGGUAGCCUGAGGUGGGCGGAUCACUUGGGGUCAGGUGUUUGAGACCAUCCUGGCCAACCCCAUUUCUACUAAAAAUACAAAAAUUAGCUGAAUGUGGUGGUGCACGCCUGUAAUCCCAGCUACUUAGGAGGCUGAGGAAGGAGAACCACCUGAACCCGGGAGGUGGCAGUUGCAGUGAGCCCAGAUCGUGCAAUUACACUCCAGCCUGGGUGACAGAGCGAGACUGUCUCAAAAAAAAAAAAAAAAAAAAAGUGACACCUUAACUGACACAAUCUCAGUGCAAUAUUAUUAAGCCAUCAGAAUACAUUUCACUAGGUCGAGGAGACUACUAUGAUAAGCAGGAUGAUCAGGCUUGCUUGGAGCCUUGUGGCCUUCCCCCAAGACCUAGUGAUCCAGGUAAGAAGUUGCUAAGAGGUCCAAGAAUGAUUGUUUGUUUGUUUGUUUGUUUGUUUUGAGAUGGAGUCUCACUCUGUCGCCCAGGCUGGAAUGCAAUGGUGUGAUCUCUGCUCAGUGCAACCUCUGCCUCCUGGGUUCAGGCGGUUCUCCUGCCUCAGCCUACUGAGGAGCUGGGAUUACCAGCCCCCACCACUAUGCCCAGCUAAUUUUUAUAGUAGAGAUGGUUUCACCAUAUUGGUCAGGAUGGUCUCUUAACUGCUAACCUCAGGUGAUCUGCUUUCCACAGCCUCCCAAAGUGCUGGGAUUACAGGUGUGAGCCACCGAGCCUGGCCAGAAAGAUUCUUUAGGUAGCCACUCUGACUGCGGUCAGCAGGCCUGCUUUCAGAUCUCCUCUACCUGUGUCUCAUCCAUGCCUGAGACAUUAUCCAGGUAGAACAGAAGGUGUUUGCAGUGGCACACACUCCUCCCUGUCAUAUAAAACAGCCUUCCUAAGCAUUUGAAGGGUGUCUCUGGGCUGCCAAGGCAGCAGCACUGGAAGCAACAAUAUCAUGAGCACUGACUCCUGUGCCUGGUACCAGAAAUCUCACAGAAGAUCAAAACCCAGAGUCAGCCACUACCUGGCAGGUUCCUAAUAAGCAUGGUGCAUACUUUUAGGCUGCUGGACCAAUAAUGUGUCUUGUUCCCAGGGGUGAUAUGCAGGAGCACCCCCAAGCAUGUCCAAUGUCCAGGAUUCCAUGAUCUGCCAGCUUUCCAGGUAUGACGUUGUCCAUCCCAUGUUUGGCUCACUCCCAGAUCACCCACAGAGGAAGAGGCAGUUUUCAGAUGCACACUGAAUCAUUUUAUUCAGUGACCCAGUCAUGGCUAUGGAGGAUUGGUAUUCACCAGGCAAUUCUCAUUGAUGGAAUAGUGACAUAAGCUCACUCUCCCCCAUACAGUCAAUAUUGUUCACAAAACCUAUGCACAGAGGGCUAGCAUUACACCUGAUAUGGUUUGGCUAUGUCCCCACCCAAAUCUUAUCUUGAAUUGUAGUUCCCAUAAUCCCAUAUGUCCAAGAGGAACUUGGUGCGAGGAAAUUGAAUCAUGAGGGUGGUUAGCCUCAUGUUGUUCUCGUGAUAGUAAGUGAGUUCUCAUGAGAUCUGAUGGUUUUAUAAGGGGCUUUUUCCCUUUUGCUCAGCACUUUUUGUUGCUGCCAUGUUAGGAAGAACAUGUUUGCUUCCCCUUCUGCCAUGAUUGUAAGUUUCCUGAGGCUUCCUCAGCCAAGUUGAACUGUGAGUCAAUUAUAACUCUUUCCUUUGUAAAUUACCCCAUCUCAGGUAUGUCUUUACUAGCAGCGUGAGAAUGGACUAAUACAAUAAAUUGGUACUGCAGAGAGUGUUGCACUGCUGUAAAGGUACCCAAAAAUGUGGGAGUGACUUUGGAACUGGGUAACAGUUCCAAAGUCUGGAACCUCUGUUGGCACCAUUUAGAGGGUUCAGAAGAAGGCAGGAAAGUGUGGGAUUGUUUAGAACUUCCCAGAGACUUGGAGGGCUCAGAAGACAGAAAGAUGUGGGAAAGUCUGAAAGUUCCUAGAGACUCAUUAAAUGGCUUUGACAAAAAUGCUGAUAGUGACAUGAACAAUGAAGUCCAGGCUGAGGUGGUCUCAGAUGGAGAUGGGGAACUUCUUGGGAACUGGAGUAAAAGUUACUUUUGCUGUGCAAAGAGACUGGUGGCAUUUUGCCCCUGCUCCAGAGAUCCAUGAAACUUUGAACUUGAGAGAGAUGAUUUAGUGUAUCUGGCAGAAGAAAUAUCUAAGAGGCAAAGAGUUUAAGAGGAAGCAGAGUAUAAAAAUUUGGAAAAUGUACAGGCUGACUAUGCUAUAGAAAAGAAAACCCUGCUGGGUGCAGUGGCUCAUGCCUGUGCUGCUCAAUCCCAGCACUCUGGCAGGCCAAUGUGGUGGAUCACCUGAGCUCAGGAGUCUGAGACCAGCCUGGCCAACAUGGUGAAGCUCCGUCUCUACUAAUAAUACAAAAAUUAGCUGUGCAUGGUUGUGCACACUUGUAAUCCCAGCUACUUGGGAGGAUGAGGCAGGAGAAUCGCUUAAACCUGAGAGGCAGAGGUUGCAGAGAGCCAAGAUCACAUCACUACACUGAAGUCAGGGUGACAAGAGCUAAACUCCAUCUCCAAAAAAAAAAAAAAGAAAAGAAAAAAAGAGUGAAGAAAACCCGAUUUUCUGGGGAGAAAUUCAAGCCAGCUGCAGAAAUUUGCAUAAAUAACAAGGAGCCUAAUGAUAAUCACCAAGACAAUGGAUAAAAUGUCUCCAGGGCACAUCACAGACCUUCAUGGCAGCACCUUUCAUCACAGGUCUGGAGGCAUAAAAGGGAAAAAUGAUUUCUUGGGCUAGGUCCAGGGCCCGCCUUGCUGUAUACAGCCUUGUGACUUUGUACCCUGUGUCCCAGCCACAUCAGCCCUGGCUAAAAGGGGCCAAGGUACAGUUCAGGCCAUUUCUUUGUUUUGUGUUGUUUUUUAGGUGUUGUCUUGCUUUGUUGCCCAGGCUGGAGUGCAGUGGCACCAAUCUCAGCUCACCACAACCUCCACCUCCCGGGUUCAAACGAUUCCGCUGCCUCAGCUCCUGAGUAGCUGGGACUAUAGGUGUGUGCCAGAAUGCUUGGCUAAUUUUUGUGUUUUUAGUAGAAAUGGGGUUUCACUAUGUUGGCCAGGCUGGUCUUGAUGAUUUGCCUGCCUCAGCCUCUUAAAGUUCUGGGAUUACAGACAUGAGCCCCAGGGCCUGGCCCAAGUCAUUUUUUUAGAGAGUGCAAGCCUCAGACCUUGGCGCAUUCCCUGUGGUGUUGGGCCUGUGGAUGUGCAGAAGACAAGAAGACAAGGUUUGGGAACCUCUGCCUAGAUUUCAGAGAAUGUAUGGAAAUGCCUGGAUGUCCAAGCAGAAGUCAACUGCAAGGGUGGGAUUUUUGUGAAGAACCUCUGCUAGGGCAGUGCAGAAGGGAAAUGGGGGGUUGGAGCCACUACACAGAGUCCCCGCUGGGGCACUGCCUAGUGCAGCUGUGAGAAGAGGGCCACCGUUCUCCAGACCCCAGAAUGGUAGAUCCACCAACAGGAUGCACUGUGUGCCUGGAAAAGCCUCAGGCACUCAAUGCCAGCCCAUGAAAGCAGCCAGGAGGGUGUCUAUCCCCUGCAAAGCCACAGGAGCAGAGCUGCCCAAGGUUGUAGGAGCCCACCUCUUACAUCAGCAUGACUUGGAUGUGAGACAUGGAUUCAAAGAUCAUUUGGGAGCUUUAAGGUUUAAUGACUGCCCUACCAGAUUUCAGACUUGCAUGGGACCUGUGGCCCCUUUGUUUUGGCCAAUUUCUCUCAUUUGGAGCAAGUGUAUUUGCUCAGUGCUUAUACCCCCAUUGUAUCAAGGAAGUAACUAACUUGUUUUUGAUUUUGCAGAAGGGACUUGUCUCAGAUGAAACUUUGGGCUUGGACUUUUAAUAUUAGGAUGAGACCCUGGCCGAUGGAUGAAAUGAGUACUUAGACACGUGUAUGCAGUGUAAGAGCAGCUAUGUGACUGCCUGUCUCUACUGGCCAGAAAGCCCCGAGAAACUGGAGCGCUUGCUUUUAUUCAGUGCAGGCACAAUGUUGAAAACCUGGAGACAUCACAACCUGUAGGUAAUUAACAUUUAUUGUUCCCCCUUCAGGGAACAUCAUGCAUGGAUGAUCAAAGAUCAAUUCCUGGUCCACAUAAGUAAACAAGCCUGUUUAAAAUAAAUUCCUCUACACUCCCUUGUACCUACUCCUUGCCCUCUGCCUCAGGGUUAUAAAACAGCUGCCUUCAGCUUUUCUCCCCCGGAGCUCUGCAGAACCUUCUGACCUUUCAGAAAGUCUGUGUCCUUUCCCUAUAGUUUUUCCCACCACUCUGAUCAAUCCCCUACACCAUGUGAAGAAAAACAUGUUUGCUUCCCCUUCCGCCAUGACUGUAAGUUUCCAGAUGUUUCCCCAGCCAUGCUGAACUGUGAGUGAAUUAAACCUCUUUCCUUUAUGAAAGUGAAUUAAACCUCUUCCCUUUA